AAACUCCAGUGUCUCUUCAGAUUGUAUAAAUCUUUUGCCUUCUACUAAAGAUUUCCACAGAGAGGAGCAAGCAUGAGUCUAAAACCAAGUCUGAGUCCUGCUCAUCCUCAGAGU
rnacentral:snRNA from 1 species